GACGAACACUGGCGGCGUGCUUAACACAUGCAAGUCGAACGGAAAGGCCCUGCUUUUGUGGGGUGCUCGAGUGGCGAACGGGUGAGUAACACGUGAGUAACCUGCCCUUGACUUUGGGAUAACUUCAGGAAACUGGGGCUAAUACCGGAUAGGAGCUCCUGCUGCAUGGUGGGGGUUGGAAAGUUUCGGCGGUUGGGGAUGGACUCGCGGCUUAUCAGCUUGUUGGUGGGGUAGUGGCUUACCAAGGCUUUGACGGGUAGCCGGCCUGAGAGGGUGACCGGCCAGAUUGGGACUGAGAUACGGCCCAGACUCCUACGGGAGGCAGCAGUGGGGAAUAUUGCACAAUGGGCGGAAGCCUGAUGCAGCAACGCCGCGUGCGGGAUGACGGCCUUCGGGUUGUAAACCGCUUUCGCCUGUGACGAAGCGUGAGUGACGGUAAUGGGUAAAGAAGCACCGGCUAACUACGUG
rnacentral:rRNA from 1 species